GAGGGUAUAGCUCAGUGGUAGAGUGAAUGUUUAGUAUGUACAAGGUCCUGGGUUCAAUCCUCAGUACCUCCA
rnacentral:tRNA from 1 species